rnacentral:tRNA from 1 species
AACUCGUGGUGGAAGGCAAGGUGCGCUACAUCGGAAAUUCGCAGUUUUCGGGGGAGCAAAUUGCACAAGCCGGUCGCAUCAGCCGCGAGUUG